CAGCAACCCGUUCUAAAAUGUCAUCAGGAGAUGGUGAACGUGUUCGAGUGCUACUCUGAGGGCUGCUUGGCUCAGAUGGCAUAGACAUAUUGCUAUCCUCAGCAAGCCUACUCCACCAAAGCCCCGACAAGACAAGAGCAAGAGGUGGGGCUACACGAAAUUUAUAUCCUCCCUAUGUCAGCACAUAAGACAUUACACACCAGUCAGAAUAGGAAUGCCUUCAUCACAAGAAAAGGUAUUUUUACAUUUUAUAAGGAUAUUCCAGAAGCAAGAAUUAACAUGAAUCCUCAAGAAGCAAUGGAAUUUGGGGGAGAUUACAUCUACUUUAAGACACUGAGACAGCAAAGGGAAGUGGAAGCCACAGAAUAUUUUGGAGCAGAGGAGUGAUGAUCAAACCUGUGAAGGACAUGCUGGAAUGGAGAGACUAGAAACAAGGGGCCAAUUAGGACACUCUUGCAAUGGUUCAGGAGAGAUGUCAAGAGGGUAGACUAGGGUAGAUGGAAUGAGUAGAAUGAGAAGAUAGUAAAAAAUAUUAUGAAAGUAGAUGGCCAAUUCUUCUUCAAUGGAAGCAAAAGGAUGAAUGACUAGAGGAUAACACAAGGACUGAAAUGCAGAGUAUAGAAGAAGGAGUUCACGACAGUUUGCAUUUUCUUAUCAUCAAAAUGAGGCAAUCACAAAAUAAAAAGAGCUUAAAAAUUUUCUGUUC